UCUGACAUCGCAUGGCAGGCUCCCCGCACGUACGUGCGGCCAACUGUCAUGGGGCUGUUUUCAGUGUCCUUGUUUAUCAAUUUUGGUUGCUUGGGGUGCCUUGGAUUUGGUUGCCUGUGCGGUUACGUCGUUGGUAGCACAAUUGUCCCGCUGUUUUGUAUUUCGUAGCUCCGUUGAUGCAUACAUCGAUGGGCGGGAGGUGUUGGCAAAUUCCAUGGCUGCGAUGCACUUGUGGUCGGAAGCUUAUCGGAUGUUUGCCGGGUCUCASGGAUAUCAGUCCSUACGUUGAGUGGUCUGCGGGUUCAAGCCUGCAGGCUCACGGUGUUGCCCAUACAAACAGAUUUGUUGCCGAUGGAUGUUUCCUCGACACGUCGCGUUCUUUCGGGAUUCAUGUUGAGGGAUUCACUCGGCACGUGUUUGUGUGUAUGUGCAUAUCCUUUACCGACCCUAAUGAUAUGCGGUUGCCGAUUUGCAUCGUCAUGGCACC
rnacentral:misc_RNA from 1 species